GCCGGGCAUAGUGGCGCAUGCCUGUAAUCCCAGUUACUUGGGAGGCUGAGGCAGGAGAAUUGCUUGAACCCAGGAGGCGGAGGUUGCAGUGAGCCGAGAUCGCGCCACUGCACUCCAGCCUGGGAAACAAGAGCGAAACUCUGUCUCUA
ensembl:misc_RNA Metazoa_SRP Metazoan signal recognition particle RNA